UAAGUUACACAGAUGAAGGGUCCAGAA
rnacentral:piRNA from 1 species